rnacentral:sRNA from 1 species
UUUUGUAAUAAAUUCAAAACAGUUUUAAAGAACAUCAUGUGGUUUUUGCGCUAAAUACAAAUGUCUCAUUGUUUUUUUUUUUGGAAAUUAAUAUCCCAUUAAUAUUUAAUUCUUAAGUUUAUUAACAGGUUUUAGUUCAGGAUUUGUUUUACUAAAAACAUAGUUUAGGGUUUAAAAAUGGAUCUGGCCAAAAUUGAGGGUUUUUUUCAUUAAAUUCCCAUUAAGAGUGGGAUUGAUGUAUGGUUUAAUGCAAUGUGAGAAUUUUAAUUUUUCAUCACUAACUUUUAUUAAUUUUUAAAUAAUUUAAAUUUAGAAUAAUAUGUGGCUCUCUCUACUGUAAUAAUGUGUCAUUAAUAUGGAGAGAGUUGGCCAACUUUCAUGUAUAUGAUUCGACUCCAAUAAAUCGUGUUAUCAUGCAUUAUAGGGAUUGAUGAUAGGUUGGAAUUUGUCAAUCCAAUUGUUGUAUAAAAACAAAAAGAAAA